rnacentral:tRNA from 1 species
UGCCCCGUAGUUCAAUUGCAUAGAACAAUGAUGGCGAAAUCAUAGGUUGGAGGUUGGAAUCCUCUCGGGGCAA